GACGAACGCUGGCGGCGUGCCUAAUACAUGCCAGUAGAACGCACAGUUUAUACCGUAGCUUGCUACACCAUAAACUGUGAGUUGCGAACGGGUGAGUAACGCGUAGGUAACCUGCCUGGUAGCGGGGGAUAACUAUUGGAAACGAUAGCUAAUACCGCAUAAUAUUAAUUAUUGCAUGAUAAUUGAUUGAAAGAUGCAAUUGCAUCACUACCAGAUGGACCUGCGUUGUAUUAGCUAGUAGGUGAGGUAACGGCUCACCUAGGCGACGAUACAUAGCCGACCUGAGAGGGUGAUCGGCCACACUGGGACUGAGACACGGCCCAGACUCCUACGGGAGGCAGCAGUAGGGAAUCUUCGGCAAUGGACGAAAGUCUGACCGAGCAACGCCGCGUGAGUGAAGAAGGUUUUCGGAUCGUAAAGCUCUGUUGUAAGAGAAGAACGGGUGUGAGAGUGGAAAGUUCACACUGUGACGGUAACUUACCAGAAAGGGACGGCUAACUACGUG
rnacentral:rRNA from 1 species